GUGUCAGCCGCCGCGGUAAUACGAAGGGACCUAGCGUAGUUCGGAAUUACUGGGCUUAAAGAGCACGUAGGUGGUUAAGAAAGUUGGUGGUGAAAUCCCAAGGCUUAACUUUGGAACUGCCACCAAAACUUUUUAACUAGAGUAUGAUUGAGGUAAGCGGAAUUUCUAGUGUAGAGGUGAAAUUCGUAGAUAUUAGAAAGAACACCAAUUGCGAAGGCAGCUUUCUGGAUCAUUACUGACACUGAGGUGCGAAAGCAUGGGUAGCGAAGAGGAUUAGAUACCCUCGUAGUCCAUGCCGUAAACGAUGUGUGCUAGACGUUGGGAAUUUAUUUUUCAGUGUCGCAGCAAAAGCGUUAAGCACACCGCCUGGGGAGUACGACCGCAAGGUUAAAACUCAAAUGAAUUGACGGGGACCCGCACAAGUAGUGGAGCAUGUGGUUUAAUUCGAAGAUACGCGCAGAACCUUACCAACACUUGACAUGUUCGUCGCGACUCUAAGAGAUUAGAGUUUUCGGUUCGGCCGGACGAAACACAGGUGCUGCAUGGCUGUCGUCAGCUCGUGUCGUGAGAUGUUGGGUUAAGUCCCGCAACGAGCGCAACCCUUACUUUUAGUUGCUACCAUUUAGUUGGGCACUCUAGAAGAGCUGCCGGUGAUAAGCUGGAGGAAGGUGGGGAUGACGUCAAGUCCUCAUGGCCCUUAUGUGUUGGGCUACACACGUGCUACAAUGGUAUUUACAGUGGGAUGCAAAGAGGCAACUCCAAGCUAACCCUCAAAGAAUACCUCAGUUCGGAUUGUACUCUGCAACUCGAGUACAUGAAGCUGGAAUUACUAGUAAUCGCGGAUCAGCGCGCCGCGGUGAAUACGUUCCCGGGUCUUGCACACACCGCCCGUC
rnacentral:rRNA from 1 species